rnacentral:rRNA from 1 species
CACGUAGGGUCCGAGCGUUGUCCGGAAUUACUGGGCGUAAAGCGUGCGCAGGCGGUUUUGUAAGUCUGUCGUGAAAUCCCCCGGGCUCAACCUGGGAAUUGCGAUGGAGACUGCAAGGCUAGAAUCUGGCAGAGGGGGGGUAGAAUUCCACGUGUAGCAGUGAAAUGCGUAGAGAUAUGGAGGAACACCAGUGGCGAAGGCGCUUUCUGGUCUGUAACUGACACUGAGGCGCGGAAAGCGUGGGGAGCAACAGG